UACGUAGGUGGCAAGCGUUGUCCGGAUUUACUGGGCGUAAAGGGCGCGUAGGCGGCGUGACAAGUCACUUGUGAAAUCUCCGGGCUUAACCCGGAGCGGCCAAGUGAUACUGUCGUGCUAGAGUGCGGAAGGGGCUACUGGAAUUCUCGGUGUAGCGGUGAAAUGCGUAGAUAUCGAGAGGAACACCUGCGGCGAAGGCGGGUAGCUGGGCCGACACUGACGCUGAUGCGCGAAAGCCAGGGGAGCGAACGGG
rnacentral:rRNA from 1 species